rnacentral:rRNA from 1 species
AAGUCGAGCGGCAGGGUGCAGCAAUGCGCCUGAGAGCGGCGGACUGGUGAGUAGCGCGUGGGUAACCUACCCUUGGGAUGGGGAUAGCCAUUAGAAAUAGUGGGUAAUACCGAAUACGGUUGCGAGGCAGGGGCUUUGCAACGAAAGGGGCUUCGGCUCCGCCCGGGGAUGGGCCCGCGUUCCAUUAGCUAGUUGGUGGGGUAAGGGCCUACCAAGGCGAUGAUGGGUAGCCGGCCUGAGAGGGUGAACGGCCACACUGGGACUGAGAUACGGCCCAGACUCCUACGGGAGGCAGCAGCUAAGAAUAUUCCGCAAUGGACGAAAGUCUGACGGAGCGACGCCGCGUGGAUGAAGAAGGCCGAAAGGUUGUAAAGUUCUUUUGUUGCCGAAGAAUAAGCGGGGGAGGGAAUGCCCUCGUGAUGACGUUAGGCGACGAAUAAGCCCCGGCUAAUUACGUGCCAGCAGCCGCGGUAACACGUAAGGGGCGAGCGUUGUUCGGAAUUAUUGGGCGUAAAGGGCGCGUAGGCGGUUAUGUAAGCCUGGCGUGAAAUGGUAGGGCUUAACCCUAUCACGGCGUUGGGAACUGUGUAACUUGAGUCAUGGAGGGGGAGUUGGAAUUCCGCGUGUAGGGGUGAAAUCUGUAGAUAUGCGGAAGAACACCGGUGGCGAAGGCGAAC